rnacentral:rRNA from 1 species
AUACGGAGGGUGCAAGCGUUGUUCGGAAUUAUUGGGCGUAAAGCGGAUGUAGGCGGUUUGUUAAGUCGGAUGCGAAAUCCCUGGGCUCAACCCAGGAACUGCAUUCGAUACUGGCAAACUAGAGUCUCGGAGGGGGUGGCGGAAUUCCCGGUGUAGAGGUGAAAUUCGUAGAUAUCGGGAGGAACACCAGUGGCGAAGGCGGCCACCUGGACGAUGACUGACGCUCAGAUCCGAAAGCGAGGGGAGCAAACAGGAUUAGAAACCCCAGUAGUCC